rnacentral:rRNA from 1 species
GACGAACCGUGCGAACGUUAUUCGGAAUCACUGGGCUUAAAGCGCGUGUAGGCGGGCCGCCGCGUCGGCUGCUGAAAUCCCCCGGCUCAACCGGGGAACGGGCAACGAUACGGGCGGCCUCGAGGGGGGUAGGGGGGACUGGAACUUCCGGUGGAGCGGUGAAAUGCGUUGAGAUCGGAAGGAACGCCCGUGGCGAAAGCGAGUCCCUGGACCCUUUCUGACGCUGAGACGCGAAAGCCAGGGGAGCGAACGGG